rnacentral:rRNA from 1 species
AUUGAACGCUGGCGGCAGGCCUAACACAUGCAAGUCGAGCGGAUGAAGGGAGCUUGCUCCUGGAUUCAGCGGCGGACGGGUGAGUAAUGCCUAGGAAUCUGCCUGGUAGUGGGGGAUAACGUCCGGAAACGGGCGCUAAUACCGCAUACGUCCUGAGGGAGAAAGUGGGGGAUCUUCGGACCUCACGCUAUCAGAUGAGCCUAGGUCGGAUUAGCUAGUUGGUGGGGUAAAGGCCUACCAAGGCGACGAUCCGUAACUGGUCUGAGAGGAUGAUCAGUCACACUGGAACUGAGACACGGUCCAGACUCCUAAGGGGGGCAGCAGUGGGGAAUAUUGGACAAUGGGCGAAAGCCUGAUCCAGCCAUGCCGCGUGUGUGAAGAAGGUCUUCGGAUUGUAAAGCACUUUAAGUUGGGAGGAAGGGCAGUAAGUUAAUACCUUGCUGUUUUGACGUUACCAACAGAAUAAGCACCGGCUAACUUCGUG